UUUACAGAAACAAAAUCAGCAAUCCUUUACAGAGUUUUCAUUCACCCCAAAAAUGUUAUACCCUCCUCAUUAGCUUUUAAGAUCCAUGAAGUUAUGAAGGUGAGAGCAUAGGCCAGCCAACAAGUUUAGGUGACCCGGAUGGGGUUGAAGGCUGACUAGGAGUAAAUAGGCUCACAUCCACAAAUGCCCCAGAGGUUUCAUCUUUUACCAUCGUACGAAAAGAUAUCGAUCCACUCCUUUCCAAAGAAGCUGAAUUUCUCCCAGGACUAGUGAGCAUACUUGUUCUGGAAGGGCCUUCAUUAUGAAUUAGUGAAUCAUAUUCAUCAAUAAACCUCAUAGCCUCUAUAUCUCUUUGUAGACUCCUCAAGACUAAAGAAUCUGCAAUGGGGAGGUACACGAGCAUGCAGAUGGCCACCACCGCACAACAUAAAAAGGAAAGAAAAGCUAAGAAUGAAAUAGCAUCAAAUAAAAGUUUAUCCGGCUCUGAUAGCACAGAUAAUCCAAGAAGAAGAACUCGUAAUGGGAAAAAACCAGAAAUAGAAAAGAUUAGUGUAUACACUCUCUUUUGUAAACCCUUAUUGAUGACCAAAUGAAGAAUUUGUCUCCCAAGCCAGAACAAGUAAGUUGUUAGGAGGGUGGCAAAAAGACCAAGGACAACGGUACUCAACAGAGGGUAAGUGCAGAGGGCAACAUUAUCAUUGUCCUUUGUUUUAGAAAAAGCUGAAGCCUUGGUGAAAUAAGGAGGUAAUCUGUGCACAAAACUCUCCUUGUUAUGCCAUGUUCCAAUUAGAAUUACAAUCACCUGAAGAACAAAUAUUGGGAGACAAUAAAGAAGCACAUAAGCAGCUGUUUUUGCAUUCCACCUCCGGCUUAAUGUUCCAGACUUCUGCAAGGUUGCACGAAGUAGAAAUAUGAGAAUGAGGAUCAGGCAUGGUUCGGCAAACCCGAGAUUUGAAACAACAUAGCAUUUGCAAACAGUUUUCUGACGUUUCAAGUUGAGGGAAUUCAGGACUCUUCCCUCCCCUCUCAACAGAUUUAACCGAAUAAUCUCUCCAAAACCCCACCAAACCGCAAAAAAGAUGAAUGUAAUUCUGAUAAUCCAAGGACCACUAAAGUAGUUGAGCCGAACAAGACCUUGACCAUGGAUCCGAUCAUGGAAGUAAAACGAAUACACGAUGCAGAAUAUACCCAGAAGGACCAGAACAACAACAAGACAAAUCGUCACCACACCAAGUGCAUCAGCAAGAAAUCUAGACAGGGGCAUUACCCAAUUCACAGAUUCUACGCAUACUAUCCGCCAGCGUGGACACAAGAAAUUUAUCUAUUGAAUAAAGGAUCCCACCUCAAUGCUCGAUAGCAAGAAGAGCUAAUUCGAAAAAUAUUAAGGCCCUCCUGUUGGUCCAAAAUAAUUAUACACGAAAACUCAAGAUCAUAUUAGAUACUACUCGAGCAAGGAUCAGGAGAAAGCAACAGGAGAGCUAUCUUAUUUUCCAACCUUGGGAGCUUUCAGCCAUCAUCAAUAAAGAGAUUCUUACACUAGCAACCAUCUUAAAGUUUCCUUUAUCAAGAACAUGAACUUUUAGCCGAGUGGAAACUCUAAACUGACAACUUUUGCAAAUUCAGUCAUCCUUGAGAGCUUUCAGUUAUCAUCGAUAAAGAGAAAUCCUCGCACUUUCAACUAUCUAAAAGUUUCCUUUAUCAAGAUUGUGAACUUUUUAGCCCAGUGGAAACUCUAAACUGACAACUUUUGCAAACUCAGACAUCCUUGCUCUUUGCGAACAUAAAAAAAUAUAAGGUCAAAAGCAUAGAACUGUUAUAACAAGACCAGAGAGAUGCACCAUAAAAAAUUCAGUAAAUAAAACUAAACUGUCUUACAAUCAACCAAAAAGUUGUAGAAAAAUAACGAAAUUCUGAAAUGAUAAAUUAAUAGAAACAAAGCAACGUAAAAUGCCAACCAAGUGAAUCACCUUGAAAAGCAGCCCAACAGAAAUUAUCCAGAAAAUUUAACAGGUUAAAAAAUAUAGUAGGCCAAGGGACAAAUAUUAAAGAGAGAAGACAGCAAAUAUCUAAUAUCCAGUUUCAGCAUUAAAUGUCAAAGAGAAACCAUGCACAAAAACCUCUGGGGCUCAAGUGGAAACCAUGCACUUCAUGACAGUUGAGUGUAAAUUAAAAUCUCAAAAAAAUAGUAAUAAUAAUAAUAAAAUCAUAAAUGCACAAUGUAAUAAGCAAAUUCAGAAAUUUAACAAUGCUAAGUAAAUCCCACUAGUAUCUGUUUGGCCCCCAUUUUCGGAAAAUGAAAAUGGGUGGAAUAGUAUUGUUUUUCCAUAAUACAUUUUACCAAAAUUUCUCUUUAAAAUGGAGCUCAAACAAAGGCUAAUUGUUAUAAAACUGUCAACUGUUGAUAGAUACAGAUACAAGAGAUCCACCUAAAAAAAAGCAUAGAUGAGUAACAAGCAAACCUAUGUCAUAAUGUCAAUAACAAAACAAAAUCAGCAAUCCUUUACAGAGUUUUCAUUCACCCCAAAGAUGUUAUACCCUCCUCAUUAGCUUUUAAGAUCCAUGAAGUUAUGAAGGUGAGAGCAUAGGCCAGCCAACAAGUUUAGGUGACCCGGAUGGGGUUGAAGGCUGACUAGGAGUAAAUAGGCUCACAUCCACAAAUGCCCCAGAGGUUUCAUCUUUUACCAUCGUACGAAAAGAUAUCGAUCCACUCCUUUCCAAAGAAGCUGAAUUUCUCCCAGGACUAGUGAGCAUACUUGUUCUGGAAGGGCCUUCAUAAUGAAUUAGUGAAUCAUAUUCAUCAAUAAACCUCAUAGCCUCUAUAUCUCUUUGUAGACUCCUCAAGACUAAAGAAUCUGCAAUGGGGAG
rnacentral:lncRNA from 1 species